GCUUUUAGUAGGAUAAUUUAGGUCAUCCAUUGGCCUUAGGGACCAAAAAUUCUUGGUUCAAACCCAAGUGAAAGCU
rnacentral:tRNA from 1 species